GUUGGCUUUGGUUUUGCAUCACAAGGCAAAAGCCUAGCAUCAUAAGUUGCUCCAUUUUAUUCUAUUUUAAGGGUGUUGAGGUCUUUUCACAUCCUAUAAUCUUUUCUAAUCUUAUAUGGACGCAACUGAGGUCUUAACAUAUGUUAUUUCACUUUUAAAAAAUCUCUAAUUAUCAUCCCUAAAGCAGAAGAAGAGAAACCACCUAGCUUUUGAAGAUCUUUAGCUUUAAGGUCGGAUUUUGCGCUACAUCUACUCAAAUUCAAGCUACAUUGUCUCAUAAUGUAGGUUCUGAGGUAUAUUUUCUGGGUCCAGCUCAGCAGUAGAUUACUUCUUGAACUCCAAAGUUGAUGAACCUCUCUUGCAUCGGAAGGCAUGUUAUCCUCAUGUAGUUUCUGUCAGUUUUAUGGUCCGGCUAGGGGCUUUGUCCCGAUCUAGACAGACUAGUGUUUCAGUUAAGUAGAGGUUUCACAGAUUUGUUUGUAUAUGAUAUGAGUUCCGUGUGGGUUGAAGUCAUGAAAUAUCAAGUUUGGUUUUGGAGUUUUCA